UACGAAGGGGGCUAGCGUUGUUCGGAAUUACUGGGCGUAAAGGGCGCGUAGGCGGUGUGUCAAGUCAGGCGUGAAAGCCCCGGGCUCAACCUGGGAACCGCGCUUGAGACUGGCACGCUCGAGUUCGGGAGAGGAUGGUGGAAUUCCCAGUGUAGAGGUGAAAUUCGUAGAUAUUGGGAAGAACACCGAUGGCGAAGGCAGCCAUCUGGACCGACACUGACGCUCAUGCACGAAAGCGUGGGGAGCAAACAGG
rnacentral:rRNA from 1 species